CCUACGGGUGGCUGCAGUGGGGAAUAUUGGACAAUGGGCGAUAGCCUGAUCCAGCCAUGCCGCGUGUGUGAAGAAGGCCUUCGGGUUGUAAAGCACUUUCAGUGGGGAAGAAAGCCUUGGGGCUAAUACCCUCGAGGAAGGACAUCACCCACAGAAGAAGCACCGGCUAACUCCGUGCCAGCAGCCGCGGUAAUACGGAGGGUGCGAGCGUUAAUCGGAAUUACUGGGCGUAAAGCGCGCGUAGGCGGUCUGAUAAGCCGGUUGGGAAAGCCCCGGGCUCAACCUGGGAACGGCAUCCGGAACUGUCAGGCUAGAGUGCAGGAGAGGAAGGUAGAAUUCCCGGUGUAGCGGUGAAAUGCGUAGAGAUCGGGAGGAAUACCAGUGGCGAAGGCGGCCUUCUGGACUGACACUGACGCUGAGGUGCGAAAGCGUGGGUAGCAAACAGGAUUAGAUACCCCUGUAGUC
rnacentral:rRNA from 1 species